rnacentral:rRNA from 1 species
UACAGAGGGUGCAAGCGUUAAUCGGAAUUACUGGGCGUAAAGCGUGCGCAGUCGGUUAUUUAAGUCGGAUGUGAAAUCCCCGGGCUCAACCCGGGAAAUGCUUCUGAUACUGGCGGACUUGAGGCCAGUAGGGGUCACUAGAACUGACGGUGGAGCGGUGAAAUGCGUAGAUAUCGUCAGGAAUGCCGGUGGUGAAGACGGGUGACUGGGCUGGUUCUGACACUGAGGCACGAAAGCGUGGGGAGCGAACGGG